UAUAACUUUCAGCAACGGAUCUCUUGGCUCUCGCAUCGAUGAAGAACGCAGCGAAUUGCGAUAUGUAAUGUGAAUUGCAGAUUUUCAGUGAAUCAUCGAAUCUUUGAACGCACCUUGCGCUCCUUGGUAUUCCGAGGAGCAUGCCUGUUUGAGUGU
rnacentral:rRNA from 1 species